rnacentral:rRNA from 1 species
GCCUGCAACAUAGAGUUAAUGCACUGCAUCCCAUUAUAACUCCAUAGUUAAGCACACUCAGGCUAGAGUAGCACUGGGAUGGGUGACUGCCCAGGAAGUCCUAGUGUUUUACAUGCC